ACUCCUACGGGAGGCAGCAGUAGGGAAUAUUGGUCAAUGGGUGAGAGCCUGAACCAGCCAUGCCGCGUGCAGGAAGACGGCCUUCUGGGUUGUAAACUGCUUUUACCAGGGGAUAAAACGACUCUGCGGAGUUAAUUGAAGGUACCUGGAGAAUAAGCACCGGCUAACUACGUGCCAGCAGCCGCGGUAAUACGUAGGGUGCAAGCGUUGUCCGGAUUUAUUGGGUUUAAAGGGUGCGUAGGCGGGCUAUUAAGUCAGUGGUGAAAUCCAGCAGCUUAACUGUUGAUGUGCCAUUGAUACUGGUAGUCUUGAGUACAGAUGAGGUAGGCGGAAUUGACAGUGUAGCGGUGAAAUGCAUAGAUAUUGUCAAGAACUCCGAUAGCGAAGGCAGCUUACUGGGCUGUAACUGACGCUGAUGCACGAAAGUGUGGGGAUCAAACAGGAUUAGAUACCCUGGUAGGCGUAGU
rnacentral:rRNA from 1 species